AGCUGGUCGCGCUCUUUCGGAGAUGAAGAGGCUUCGAGAACGUCGACUUGAAUAUGCU
rnacentral:sRNA from 1 species